GGCUGCUUGGUUGAGCGGUAAGAACACUUUGCCUCUCACCCUAGAGUCUCGGGUUCAAUUCCCGGUCGAGGAGCUA